GGUCCCGUAGCUCAAUUGGUAAGAGCUGCUGGCUCAUAACCAGAAGGUUAUCGGUUCAAGUCCGGUCGGGACCA
rnacentral:tRNA from 1 species